rnacentral:rRNA from 1 species
AGAGUUUGAUCCUGGCUCAGGACGAACGCUGGCGGCGUGCCUAAUACAUGCAAGUAGAACGCUGAAGGAGGAGCUUGCUUCUCUGGAUGAGUUGCGAACGGGUGAGUAACGCGUAGGUAACCUGCCUGGUAGCGGGGGAUAACUAUUGGAAACGAUAGCUAAUACCGCAUAACAGUAGAUAUCGCAUGAUAGCUGCUUGAAAGGUGCAAUUGCACCACUACCAGAUGGACCUGCGUUGUAUUAGCUAGUUGGUGAGGUAACGGCUCACCAAGGCGACGAUACAUAGCCGACCUGAGAGGGUGAUCGGCCACACUGGGACUGAGACACGGCCCAGACUCCUACGGGAGGCAGCAGUAGGGAAUCUUCGGCAAUGGACGGAAGUCUGACCGAGCAACGCCGCGUGAGUGAAGAAGGUUUUCGGAUCGUAAAGCUCUGUUGUAAGAGAAGAACGAGUGUGAGAGUGGAAAGUUCACACUGUGACGGUAUCUUACCAGAAAGGGACGGCUAACUACGUGCCAGCAGCCGCGGUAAUACGUAGGUCCCGAGCGUUGUCCGGAUUUAUUGGGCGUAAAGCGAGCGCAGGCGGUUAGAUAAGUCUGAAGUUAAAGGCUGUGGCUUAACCAUAGUACGCUUUGGAAACUGUUUAACUUGAGUGCAAGAGGGGAGAGUGGAAUUCCAUGUGUAGCGGUGAAAUGCGUAGAUAUAUGGAGGAACACCGGUGGCGAAAGCGGCUCUCUGGUCUGUAACUGACGCUGAGGCUCGAAAGCGUGGGGAGCAAACAGGAUUAGAUACCCUGGUAGUCCACGCCGUAAACGAUGAGUGCUAGGUGUUAGGCCCUUUCCGGGGCUUAGUGCCGCAGCUAACGCAUUAAGCACUCCGCCUGGGGAGUACGACCGCAAGGUUGAAACU